GAUCCUGGCUCAGAUUGAACGCUGGCGGCAGGCUUAACACAUGCAAGUCGAACGGUAACAGGAGAGAGCUUGCUUUCUUGCUGACGAGUGGCGGACGGGUGAGUAAUGCUUGGGAAUCUGGCUUAUGGAGGGGGAUAACGACGGGAAACUGUCGCUAAUACCGCGUAGAGUCGAGAGACGAAAGUGCGGGACCGCAAGGCCGCAUGCCAUAGGAUGAGCCCAAGUGGGAUUAGGUAGUUGGUGGGG
rnacentral:rRNA from 1 species